ensembl:lncRNA
GUGUUUUUGAGGUUCAGAGGUAGAAAUAGUUGGGUGGCACAGUGCACUAGUACAGUAAGUUUCAUAAAAGUCCCUCAAACAUACAGCAAGAGUUACAUAAUUUUAACAAAUCCAUCCCAAAUUUUAAGCACACAGUAAUAGAUGACCCAAUCAGGGUUCCUAAAUUCCCCAUAUCAGUCCAUCAGGGGGAAGGGAUGAAGCUUCAUUCAAAACUGCUUCAGGUUGAGCACUUGCGGGAGACUCUCAGUCCAUGCAGAGAAUAUACAUGGUGUGGCCUGGCAUGCUGGCAAGCUGAUUUAGGUCCCAGAAGCAAGUCAAUACCUGUAAUUUGACCAAAAUCUAGAACAAAAAACACAAAUCUAACAAAUAAAGGUUAGAACAGGCAAAGGUGAAGAAGUCAGUAUGAAUUGGCCAGCAGCUUAAUAAGUUUUCUUCACAGGCAGGCAAACAGCUGUCAACUAUAAUCCCAAUAGAGAAAACAGCAAUUAGGCUUUUGUCCUUUCAUUAGUUAGGAACCUUUAAAAAAAACUUGGAUAUCCAGACACAAUAUCCAGUAACAGAUAGAUGAUCAGAUUAAAUACUUAUUUGCUCAAGUAUUUAGGAUAUAAUGAUUACAUAUAACCAGGAUGGAAACAGCAAGGUAUGACAUAAUUGAAUUGCAUUUACAGUUUCUUAUUGACCAUUACUCUGAUUAUAGAAAUUAGUUACAGGAGGAAAAAAUGCAGGGACAUAACUAUAACAUAAGCAGCUAAAACUUAACUUUCAGCAAAACAGGAUAAAAUAACUUUAAUUCAUUUUACUCCAGUUAAUUGUCCCACUGACUGUCAGACGGUGGAGCUUUAAAACUCUCAAAUAGCAUUAACCAUAAGCCCAAGGAAUUUUACUUCCAAUAACAAAUUUCAUUAACUAAAGUUUCAGAUAAAUCCUAAACAGAUAUUUACCAUAAUCUUAUUUUUAUAACAGUCAGAAUUUGUCUCAGUAAGUUCACUUCUUUCAUAUCUAAGCAGACAGCUUCAUAAGUGAGCAUCAUACAUACAAAUCAUUUUGCUUUAAAAUACCCAAUACAUAGACAAAUAUUCCAAAUUAUAUAUUGUCCAUAACAAAAACAUUUUCAAAAGGACAAGGAAAAACUAGUAUUUUCAAAAGCCCUUUAAAUGAUGGGCAUAACCUCAGGAUACAAUCAAUUAAAUUUAUACAGAAUAUCCAAUUCCACAUAAAAGAAUCUGAAAGAUUGUUAAAAAUAUAUUUUGAACUUUUAGAAAUAGCCCUACCAAAUUAUAGAUCAAUUAAUUUAAAAGCAGGCCUAUCUCUUGAAAUCAUUUGCCAAAGCCAAGCCUCUGCAGAAAGUGGCUGGAACACAUUUAAUGGGGGGAAGGGGAAUCCACGUGGCCACCCUUCCAUCUUCAAAGAGGCAAGGGGGAGAGAAGGCGAGCUAAACUGCACCCCAGGCUAACUAGGUGCUCCAUAGCUGAAGUAACAGAGAGCACUGGGGGUGAGUUUAAUCUUGACCUUUGAAGACAAAAAGAUCCCUACUCCACCUAAGCUUUAAAGUAGC